rnacentral:rRNA from 1 species
GAUGAACGCUGGCGGCGUGCCUAAUACAUGCAAGUCGAGCGAACAGACGAGGAGCUUGCUCCUCUGACGUUAGCGGCGGACGGGUGAGUAGCACGUGGAUAACCUACCUAUAAGACUGGGAUAACUUCGGGAAACCGGAGCUAAUACCGGAUAAUAUAUUGAACCGCAUGGUUCAAUAGUGAAAGACGGUUUUGCUGUCACUUAUAGAUGGAUCCGCGCCGCAUUAGCUAGUUGGUAAGGUAACGGCUUACCAAGGCAACGAUGCGUAGCCGACCUGAGAGGGUGAUCGGCCACACUGGAACUGAGACACGGUCCAGACUCCUACGGGAGGCAGCAGUAGGGAAUCUUCCGCAAUGGGCGAAAGCCUGACGGAGCAACGCCGCGUGAGUGAAGGUCUUCGGAUCGUAAAACUCUGUUAUUAGGGAAGAACAAAUGUGUAAGUAACUAUGCACGUCUUGACGGUACCUAAUCAGAAAGCCACGGCUAACUACGUG